rnacentral:lncRNA from 1 species
CAAAUUUUAACGAUGGGACUCUAAUUGUUAACCAAACGAGGAUAUGACCCAAGAAUGCCAAAUAAGGAUGAGGCUCCAAAAAAUUGUCAAAUAAGGAUGAGACUCCAAGAAUGUUAAAUCACAAUGGGAUUCCUUAAAAUCGUCAGAUAAGGAUGGGACUCCGAAAAUGUUAAAUUAGGACUGGACUCCAAAAUUGCCAGA